UACAGAGGGGCAAGCGUUGUUCGGAAUUACUGGGCGUAAAGGGCGCGUAGGCGGCCAACUAAGUCAGACGUGAAAUCCCCUGGCUCAACCAGGGAACUGCGUCUGAUACUGGAUGGCUUGAAUCCGGGAGAGGGAUGUGGAAUUCCAGGUGUAGCGGUGAAAUGCGUAGAUAUCUGGAGGAACACCGGUGGCGAAGGCGGCAUCCUGGACCGGUAUUGACGCUGAGGCGCGAAAGCCAGGGAGCA
rnacentral:rRNA from 1 species